rnacentral:rRNA from 1 species
GACGAACGCUGACGGCGUGCUUAACACAUGCAAGUCGAAGGUAGUGGCGAACGGGUGAGCAACACGUGAGUAACCUGCCCUUUUCUUUGGGAUAAGCCGGGGAAACUGGGUCUAAUACCGGAUGGAUUGGGAUGGGCUCGCGGUGUAUGAGCGUGUUAGUGGGGUGAUGGGUUACCAAGGCUUUGACGGGUGGCCGGCCUGAGGGGGUGGUCGGGACCACGGGGACUGGGAUACGGCCCAGGGUGCUACGGGAGGGGGAAGUGGGGGAUAUUGCAAAAGGGACGAAAGUCUGAGGCGGCGGCGUCGUGUGGGGGAUGAAGGCGUUCGGGUUGUAAAUUCCUUUCGCCCGCGGAAUGGUAGUGGGUAAAGAAGCGCCGGCUAACUACGUGCCAGCAGCCGCGGUAAUAC